rnacentral:lncRNA from 1 species
AUUAUUUCUGGCUUCGCCACUGCCCGUAGAUGCAUGCUGGAACAAACUAAAAACUGACAUGACAACUAAUUUUACGCUCCAUUGUGUCCUCCUUGUCCAUAGUUCGUGGACAUGUAAGUUUUGAUUUUUCAAUGGCAGUUUGGGUUUUGGGUGUGUAUCCUGCUUUCAUUUUUUCCUACAUCUCAUAGAAUAAAGUUCUCAAUGAGAGAGAGAGAGAGUUUGGGAUUGGGUCCCCAUGCAUGGGCUUGCAUCGACAUGAACAACUUGAUAUACUAAACUUUAAUGAGUAGGGAGAACAAUCAAAUUCAGCUAGCCGCUUACAGUUACAAUGAAAAUGAAUGGACCUUUGUAUGAAAUUAUGGUUUUACUUGUUAUCUGAGUAAAAGUGUUACUC